rnacentral:rRNA from 1 species
UACAGAGGGUGCAAGCGUUGUUCGGAAUUAUUGGGCGUAAAGGGCGUGUAGGCUGUUAGGUAAGUCUUCUGUGAAAUCUACGGGCUUAGCCUGUAACGUGCAGAGGAAACUACCUGGCUUGAGUGUCGGAGAGGAUAGGGGAAUACCCAGUGUAGAGGUGAAAUUCGUAGAGAUUGGGUGGAACACCAGUGGCGAAGGCGCCUAUCUGGCUGACAACUGACGCUGAGACUCGAAAGCAUGGGGAGCAAACAGG